AACUAGUUUAAAUGCAUCCGGGAAAAUAUUUUAAAACCACAGAAGAGUGUGAAGCAGAGGCUGUCUGUCACCGCUGGUCCUGUUCGUACAGGAUACUGUCACCUUUGAGACACGUAUAUUUUUGCAUGUGACACGUAUUUAUUUUUUCCACACUAACGGUGUUGCCUGUUCUGCACCCUGCUUGUUGCACUUAUGAGAGAAUCUGCAGCGGCACAGAGAGUGCUACCUCGUGUGACAGCUUCGUCAUUUUCCAUUGUGUGGACAGACCCUGGCUCAGUCGCACACCCAUUGCUGGAGAUUCAGAGCAAACUCCAGAUUCUGCAGCCUCUGUCUGUUGAUGGCAUUAACUUCCGUGAACUUGGCAGCAAGAGCCGUUUCCUACAGGAGAGCAGAUAGGAGUCAACAGACUAAGCGAAGGGGACUGGAGCCUGGCCCUCUUGCUCAUGUGGCUGCUUCUUCCAUUCUCCAAGUCAAGGAGGGACCUGAGUUUCUCUGCUUCCAACUCGUAGUCCUGCGUGAGACAGACAUGGCAGAGGGCAGACAAGAGCAGGUGAGACCAAAAUGUUCUUGUGCCCCUUCCCGCUGACUGCAAAGGUCUUCUGCUCAGCCACACCCUGUUCUGCCUGCCAGGAGGUUUUGAGAACCAUAGAUCCGUCAGUGGUACGUACCUACAUCCCUGAAUAACAUGUGCGACGAGAAAAAGUAGGCCCACAAUCCCCCUCCGUCCCCAAAGCAUGCUCCUUCCAGGCCUUCCCUGGCCUAGAGACCAUGGCAUUCUGCUUUCUUCAUUGAACUCUGUACCAUAAGAGUUAUGGCUUUUCUCAUGUUGCCUCCUCCUAAUCCUCCUGUGGAUCAGUUUGAUGACUUUAACAUCCAUUGUGUGGUCAGGUGAUAAUUUACUAGCUGUUCCUCUGCUAUUGGACAUUUAGGUUAUUUCUAGUUUGUCUGUUUUGCUAUUGUAAAUAAUUCUGUUGUACAAUGAUUUUGUUAAUCCCACAUUAUUAUUAUUUCAUAUUUUUUCCUUUAGGAUAAAUUCCCCCAGUUACUGCUUUACAGUAGAAAAUCCUUCUCUGGUAUUCGAUGCCCAGUACCAUCUUGUUUCCCAAAGGCCUGUGCCGGUUUGUGUGGCCGCCAGCAGUGCCUGAGGACACCCCGCCGGACCAGCUGGUGGGAAGAGGCCCUGCUGCUUUACACUCUGGGCAGGGUGUCACGUCUCACCUUGAC